rnacentral:rRNA from 1 species
CCAAUAGCGUAUAUUAAAGUUGUUGCAGUUAAAAAGCUCGUAGUUGAAUUUCGGGGUUCUACCGUUGGUCAGGCUAUUGUCUGUACUGGCGUGUAGAAUUUCUACCUUCUGGUGAACUAUCAUGUUAUUAAUUUAGCGUGGUAGGAAACCAGGACCUUUACCUUGAAAAAAUUAGAGUGUUCAAAGCAGGCUUAUGUCUGAAUACAUUAGCCGGGAAUAAUAAAAUAGGACGGUGGCCCUGUUUUGUUGGUUUCUGAAUCACCGUAAUGAUUAAUAGGGAUAGUUGGGGGCAUUAGUAUUCAAUUGUCAGAGGUGAAAUUCUUGGAUUUAUUGAAGACUGACUACUGCGAAAGCAUUUGCCAAGGAUGUUUUCAUUAAUCAAGAACGAAAGUUAGGGGAUCGAAGACGAUCAGAUACCGUCGUAGUCUUAACCAUAAACUAUGCCGACUAGGGAUCGGACGAUGUUAACUUUUCUUGACUCGUUCGGCGCCUUACG